AUUGAACGCUGGCGGCAGGCCUAACACAUGCAAGUCGAGCGGUAGCACAGAGAGCUUGCUCUCGGGUGACGAGCGGCGGACGGGUGAGUAAUGUCUGGGAAACUGCCUGAUGGAGGGGGAUAACUACUGGAAACGGUAGCUAAUACCGCAUAACGUCGCAAGACCAAAGAGGGGGACCUUCGGGCCUCUUGCCAUCAGAUGUGCCCAGAUGGGAUUAGCUAGUAGGUGGGGUAACGGCUCACCUAGGCGACGAUCCCUAGCUGGUCUGAGAGGAUGACCAGCCACACUGGAACUGAGACACGGUCCAGACUCCUACGGGAGGCAGCAGUGGGGAAUAUUGCACAAUGGGCGCAAGCCUGAUGCAGCCAUGCCGCGUGUAUGAAGAAGGCCUUCGGGUUGUAAAGUACUUUCAGCGGGGAGGAAGGCGAUAAGGUUAAUAACCUUGUCGAUUGACGUUACCCGCAGAAGAAGCACCGGCUAACUCCGUGCCAGCAGCCGCGGUAAUACGGAGGGUGCAAGCGUUAAUCGGAAUUACUGGGCGUAAAGCGCACGCAGGCGGUCUGUCAAGUCGGAUGUGAAAUCCCCGGGCUCAACCUGGGAACUGCAUUCGAAACUGGCAGGCUAGAGUCUUGUAGAGGGGGGUAGAAUUCCAGGUGUAGCGGUGAAAUGCGUAGAGAUCUGGAGGAAUACCGGUGGCGAAGGCGGCCCCCUGGACAAAGACUGACGCUCAGGUGCGAAAGCGUGGGGAGCAAACAGGAUUAGAUACCCUGGUAGUCCACGCCGUAAACGAUGUCGACUUGGAGGUUGUGCCCUUGAGGCGUGGCUUCCGGAGCUAACGCGUUAAGUCGACCGCCUGGGGAGUACGGCCGCAAGGUUAAAACUCAAAUGAAUUGACGGGGGCCCGCACAAGCGGUGGAGCAUGUGGUUUAAUUCGAUGCAACGCGAAGAACCUUACCUACUCUUGACAUCCAGAGAACUUWSCAGAGAUGSUUUGGUGCCUUCGGGAACUCUGAGACAGGUGCUGCAUGGCUGUCGUCAGCUCGUGUUGUGAAAUGUUGGGUUAAGUCCCGCAACGAGCGCAACCCUUAUCCUUUGUUGCCAGCGGUCCGGCCGGGAACUCAAAGGAGACUGCCAGUGAUAAACUGGAGGAAGGUGGGGAUGACGUCAAGUCAUCAUGGCCCUUACGAGUAGGGCUACACACGUGCUACAAUGGCGCAUACAAAGAGAAGCGACCUCGCGAGAGCAAGCGGACCUCAUAAAGUGCGUCGUAGUCCGGAUUGGAGUCUGCAACUCGACUCCAUGAAGUCGGAAUCGCUAGUAAUCGUAGAUCAGAAUGCUACGGUGAAUACGUUCCCGGGCCUUGUACACACCGCCCGUCACACCAUGGGAGUGGGUUGCAAAAGAAGUAGGUAGCUUAACCUUCGGGAGGGCGCUUACCACUUUGUGAUUCAUGACUGGGGUG
rnacentral:rRNA from 1 species